CUCAGCGGAUCUCAGCCGGCCUUAUCUCCGCUCUGUUUGCCUGCGCUGAUCCGACGUUAUCAAACGGAAAAGCAAAGAGAGCGAGGACUGCCGCGCUCGUGCUCAGACGGAUUUUCACUCCUUACGUGGGCGUGACGUCGUGACUAAGCAAAAUGUGGCUCUACCACAACAGCGCCAAUAGGAAGAAAUACACAUAUACAUAAUAUACGUGUUACAUUUUAUGAAUGAUGAAGUCAUUGCAUGUCAUCCUUUCUGAAUGGCAGAAACCAUGGGCCCAGAGCUCCAGCAGCACGCGUGCGCUACAGGACAGCACGUCUCCAGUCGUCUGAGGACACCUCGUCAUGACAGCGCGGGGAGGACAUGGUGCCAGUUGGUGAUCUGACGCUCCGAGGUGAUGUCUCGUCUGCUCUGGGAUCACAUAAGGACACCUACCAGUUCACAGCCUCAUCUCUGACUGGCUGUGACACGUCAACGUCUGUCAGACUCCGGAAAAAUUUACUUCAGAGUAGAAACCAUCACCACUGGAAAAAGAAAUGGACGUAAUGGAACAAACCAGUAACAUAUGGGAAGCGCUAACAGCCAGCUCCCACUCAUCCACUGGGGCACGCGGGUUCAUCAGACAUUCAUCAGUGAGACAGCAGCCGCCGCUUUAACUAUGAGAUCGGUCGCAUCUGUUACAUAGAACAUGCCACGAACAGCGUUACAGUGCAAGAACAGAGCGGGAGCUGGGGCCGCGGAGGUGAUGCUGAGAUCUGUGCAACAGAAGGAAGAGAGGAGAGGCUCAUGAAUGCAGCUGUUUGUGUUGGGUUUGGUGCUGAGCAGCAUAAGCUGGUGAGAGUAGGAAACGUGUGGCCACGGUGAAUGGAAGGGCAGGUUAAAGACGCAUCCACUCUGUCACACAUGGAUGCAUGAAGAUUAUACAAGAACACUAAUAUUUAAUGAAAGGUCCGCUUUGGCCUGCUUCAUUAGUCCCAUCCAUGUGGGAUCCAGGCCUUGGCCUUGACCUGUGGCCAGGCUGCAGCUAAAGCAGCCUCUUAAGGUCAAACCCAGCAGCGACAGUCUCACACCUCUGGUUUGUCAUGCGAGGACGCGAGCUCAGGAUGGUACAGUAGGUAGUAACAAAUGAUCUCUAAUAUAAACUACACUAACAAGUCAACGUAUCCAUCACUCAACUACAAUUGACAACUACAAUGACAGGAACAGGCUAGAACACCUUCACUGCACAUGAAGAUGAACAGAGGAAGUAUGAACAGUCAAGGUCACUAACAAACUGAAGAAAACAGGCCAACAAAGAUCAAAACAAGUGGCUGUGAUGCCCAGCGACAGCGGGAAACACAAGUACAUACACCGAUCACUAUGACUGAUGAGGUGAGGAACGCUUCAUGCCACCUGUUACUGGGUGGAUAUAUAUUCUGCAGCAGGUGAACUUUAAUGUGGGCGUAAAGUUUUCAGAGAGUCAAAUCUGAGUGGUACUGUAAUAGCGAGCCACGUUCCCCUUCUUCCUGUUCUGCCACAGUCAGCAUCCAUCAAACGUGGCCCAAGGACAGAGCAGCAGAGAACCGGCUCGCGGCAGCAGCAAUUCCAGCUACUGCAGCUAAAUGACCAAACAGGUGAAUACUGGUUGUCAUAUACUGUACAAGGUGUGAGCGCACAUGCAUCACAGUCCGUGUGUAAAGCGCCAGGAGCAAGGAUGCAUUAUGGGAAAAAGGAAGAGACUGUGUGAUGCUUGGGCCUGUCAGUCUGAGGACUGAAACAGUGAUUUGGAGGUGCUGACUAGGCUCCAAAGUCUGCAGAGCUCAGUCCAAUCAAGCAGCUGUGACAUGUGCUGGACACAUUUGAUCCACCGACGCCCCACCUCAACUUAUAGGACUUAAAGGAUCUGCUGUAACAGCCAUCAAAGCGUCAGGGCAAUAGCACAAAACAUCCCUGAGAAGAUCAUCCACUACCGCCUCAAGGUAAUAAAGCAGGAUUGACUGAAAGAACUUUUUCUUGGAAGAAUUAUCUAAUACAUCAUUCACCUCAGAGGGAGAAUAACAUCUAAAAGUGUGAAAUGAUCCGUAAAAUGAUUGGCAAAGCGAAAGCAAACAAAGGUAGGCUGAAGGCGUCAUUUUUCACGUCCUUGUCUGAUCCGGCUGUGUCGCACUGACUGCCAGCAGAGUGUGACAAAUCUGACAGGCUUAAUCUGGCCAUGCAUCAUCUCCAGUGUCGAGAGGCAGGACGGAGAGGACGAGGGGCUGUGAUGAUGAUAGACAGACCAACAGGAAAUAGAGGAAGGGCCCUGUAGCCGUAGCAACGGCUGUGAUGGACACGGGCAGCUUUGAAUCUGACAGGUGGCAUUAAUGUAGAUGUUUAACCUUUGACCUCCACCGGGAGGAAGCACAAAGAAGCGGGUGCACCUGUUGGCAGCAGGUACAGGGCUGUGAAAACACUCCUGGAUCUAAUUCACUUCCACAAAAAUGCCCCAAAAUUAUUUCUGCACUUGUUGUUCAUAACGAGGCGCUGAUGGAAGUGGAGAGGCAGAACGGUGUCACAGGGGCAGCUCCCAGACAGUGUCAAGUAGAGUUCACAGACAAUGACGGCGAGUGUUUGGGUGGGUUUGGAAUUCAACGCCUCGGCUUUGACACAUGAAGUGGGAAGAAUUCAUUGAAUAUACUGCGGUGGGGGCGAGUUUGAGACCUUCUUCUUCUUCAGCCUAAUUUUUGGCUUUAUACCACAGAGCACAUCUAGCACGACCAUUGGGAACAGUCUUGUGUGACAGGCCUGAACUCUGGACCAGGUCUGGAUUGGAUCAAACCACCAACCCACCCACUGUGACUCAAACACAUUCAUUGUUCAAUGAAUACGCUGCUGUGACAUACAGCAGAUUACAGACAGGCAGCCUCCACAGGAAUUCUAGAACUGAAGGCAAACUGCGAUAGGAGGCCAGAAAGUUGUAUAAUAAACUAUCAGGCUACAAACUCAUGAACUCUCACUGACUUUUUAACAUGUUUGGAAACUCUACAGGUUCUUAGUGGUGGAGCCAUCCAAUAAAACAGGAUCUAGUUCUUGGGGCAAACGGGCCGGUGGGUUCUCUCCCCAUGUACUUUACCUUCUGUUGCCUCUGUACUCUGCUAUACUGCACCACUCACUUACAGUAGAGGCUGAGAAACCUACUUCAUACACUGAGAUGCUCCACAUUCCCUCAACACCAGCCAUCCUGAGCACGUCUCUGCUGGAGGUUUCUUCCAUUAAAGGGAGGUUUUCCUCCCCACUGCCUGGUGCUGCUCGGCUGGGAUUUGUUGGCUUUUCAAUAUACGGUACUGGUAGUUUUGUUUUCUGUUUGCAGGAUGCCUUUUGUAGAGGAACAGAACUGUAUAAAUAAACCAAGCUGCAUUCUCUACAUGUGGCAAACUACACAUUCUCAACAGAGAGAAGGGCACUUCUUUCGGUUCUAAAAGGCCAUUAAAGGUGACAUUCUACAUGAAACCACUUAUUAUGAGUCCUUAAUCUGUUCAGCAGCCAUAAAAGGGAUGGGAGACAAGUAGAUGACUAAGGAAAUAAGUGGUAAUAAUGUGGUUAAAGUACUGUGAGUCCUUCUGGAGAACCACUGAGUGCACACUGAUCUAAUACUGCAUUAAUCAGACAAAGGUCAUGUACUUCACCUGGGAAAAACAGUUUUUUUUCUAAAUUGAAUGAGCAGGUUUAUUUUUUCUUUGAGCCCCAGACUCAUUGAAUAAUAUGCUAUGACCAUAUGUUACUACUAUUUAAGAUAUUUCCACAGAGGAAUUCACUUCAGAUUUUUGAGAUUAAGACUUCAAGGCAACUAUACCUUCCAAUACAGUCACAAUAAAACGUCAAAUCACAAAUGGCUUCAUUCAAAUUUAAGGACACACGCAUACGCAUACACACACACAGCUGUAGACAUGGUGUCAGUGCUGGGUGACAUUUAAAAUCAAAAGCUUCAACACGGUCGAAAGAUGUAUAUGUGACAUUUCAAACAGAAGAUGUGAAAAUGAAAAUCCCAAACUCUUGGCAGCACGAGUGGAUGAGGCGUCAGUCAGCUGUGGACCUUCAGAGGUUGUGAGGGCACAAACCCGUGACCCCACAGGUUGGUUCACAGACAGGUUGUGAGCUUGGUCAGGUUGGGGCUUCUCGUUCUAUUUUAUGUAAAACUCAUUGUAAGUAUUUUUGUUGUUCUCCAUGCUACUGACUGUCAUAGGUGAUAUCCUUCAUAAAUAGGAAGGUCUGAGCUCAGCUAUGGACAUGACUUACUGUACAUUUUUCCUGUUUAUUCUCUUUAGUUUUAUCUUUAUCUGCUCUUUAUUUUUUGAUAUUAAAGUUAUAAAUGUUUUUAUACAUAUGCUGCAGGCGGGCCUCACUGGCUAGUUAUAGUACAGUUAGCUACAGCGCUAAGACCAGAAAAAGAUAUUUUCCCUAGAGACUGAGGACAUUUUCGCUCUUUGUCACCAUUUCCAGGGGUUAUUUGGGGGUUAAUGCACAUUUUAGGCAUCGACAUGUCUCAGCCUGAAUUUCUGUCCGUCUGCAAUCCAUUCACCUGGAUGCUAUUAUUUCACAUCUCUUCCUUCUUGUCUUUCUUUUCCCUUUAGGUUAAUAAAUCCAUUUUCCAGACACUGAAA